rnacentral:rRNA from 1 species
GACGAACGCUGGCGGCGUGCUUAACACAUGCAAGUCGAACGGAAAGGCCCUGCUUUUGUGGGGUGCUCGAGUGGCGAACGGGUGAGUAACACGUGAGUAACCUGCCCUUGACUUUGGGAUAACUUCAGGAAACUGGGGCUAAUACCGGAUAGGAGCUCCUGCUGCAUGGUGGGGGUUGGAAAGUUUCGGCGGUUGGGGAUGGACUCGCGGCUUAUCAGCUUGUUGGUGGGGUAGUGGCUUACCAAGGCUUUGACGGGUAGCCGGCCUGAGAGGGUGACCGGCCACAUUGGGACUGAGAUACGGCCCAGACUCCUACGGGAGGCAGCAGUGGGGAAUAUUGCACAAUGGGCGGAAGCCUGAUGCAGCAACGCCGCGUGCGGGAUGACGGCCUUCGGGUUGUAAACCGCUUUCGCCUGUGACGAAGCGUGAGUGACGGUAAUGGGUAAAGAAGCACCGGCUAACUACGUGCCAGCAGCCGCGGUGAUACGUAGGGUGCGAGCGUUGUCCGGAUUUAUUGGGCGUAAAGGGCUCGUAGGUGGUUGAUCGCGUCGGAAGUGUAAUCUUGGGGCUUAACCCUGAGCGUGCUUUCGAUACGGGUUGACUUGAGGAAGGUAGGGGAGAAUGGAAUUCCUGGUGGAGCGGUGGAAUGCGCAGAUAUCAGGAGGAACACCAGUGGCGAAGGCGGUUCUCUGGGCCUUUCCUGACGCUGAGGAGCGAAAGCGUGGGGAGCGAACAGGCUUAGAUACCCUGGUAGUCCACGCUGUAAACGGUGGGUACUAGGUGUGGGGUCCAUUCCACGGGUUCCGUGCCGUAGCUAACGCUUUAAGUACCCCGCCUGGGGAGUACGGCCGCAAGGCUAAAACUCAAAGGAAUUGACGGGGCCCCGCACAAGCGGCGGAGCAUGCGGAUUAAUUCGAUGCAACGCGUAGAACCUUACCUGGGUUUGACUUGGAUCGGGAGUGCUCAGAGAUGGGUGUGCCUCUUUUGGGGUCGGUUCACAGGUGGUGCAUGGCUGUCGUCAGCCCGUGUCGUGAGAUGUUGGGUUAAGUCCCGCAACGAGCGCAACCCUUGUUCACUGUUGCCAGCACGUUAUGGUGGGGACUCAGUGGAGACCGCCGGGGUCAACUCGGAGGAAGGUGGGGAUGACGUCAAGUCAUCAUGCCCCUUAUGUCCAGGGCUUCACGCAUGCUACAAUGGCUGGUACAGAGAGUGGCGAGCCUGUGAGGGUGAGCGAAUCUCGGAAAGCCGGUCUCAGUUCGGAUUGGGGUCUGCAACUCGACCUCAUGAAGUCGGAGUCGCUAGUAAUCGCAGAUCAGCAACGCUGCGGUGAAUACGUUCCCGGG